CCUUUUGUAUCUCACUCUCAAGUGUACAUCACACACAGAAUGUGAAUGUGGUCACAUGCACAUGUACAUACAUGCAUUUCCUACUGUUUCCAGUACUGUCUGGCUUGUUCCUCCCAUUCAGGCCAUGUAUAUCUGAGCCUGAGAUGACACCUGGCAGGACUCCAGGAAACCUGAGGGUGUUUGGUCUUGUUCACACUGAACUGCUUGUUUCUCUGCUCACUCAGGGCUUCUCUAGAAAGGCUAUUUGUAUGAGUAUUAAUGUCCACCAAAUUCUCUCUUAUGCCAACCUGGUCUACAUAAAUGAGUUCCAGGGCAGCCAGAGCCACAAGUCUAGACCCCAUUUUGAUUAAAGAAAAAAAAAAAAAAGAAAAAAGAAAGAAAGAAAGAA
rnacentral:lncRNA from 1 species